rfam:Pisolithus tinctorius Marx 270 unplaced genomic scaffold scaffold_330, whole genome shotgun sequence.
GCUUCGGUGGCUUAAGGGUUAAAGCGUUCGACUGAAGUUCGAAAAACAGUGGUUCAACUCCAUUCCGAGGCA